rnacentral:rRNA from 1 species
UGAGUAACCUGCCCUUAACUCUGGGAUAAGCCUGGGAAACUGGGUCUAAUACCGGAUAUGACUCCUCAUCGCAUGGUGGGGGGUGGAAAGCUUUUUGUGGUUUUGGAUGGACUCGCGGCCUAUCAGCUUGUUGGUGAGGUAAUGGCUUACCAAGGCGACGACGGGUAGCCGGCCUGAGAGGGUGACCGGCCACACUGGGACUGAGACACGGCCCAGACUCCUACGGGAGGCAG